UUGUAGUAUCAUAAGCAAGCCAAACGGUAGAAAAUUGACCCCAACCAAGUUUCCUCUGAGCAAUAUACCUCCCACCGGCGAAUUGAUCAGCGACUCUAACAGCAUGGUAUCCACCUUUCCGAUAGGACUCAAAGCCCUCAUCAUCUUCCUCCGAUCCUGAUGAAGAAGAACACGACAUGACCCACUUUUUUCUUUGAUCAGAUUCACCAACAAAACACAAGACCCAGAUGGAAAAAUCAAAACUUUAUUGAUUAUUUUGAAGUUUUGAGAAUCACCAAUGAAAUGGGUAUUUUUAAUUAUUAUUUUUUUGAAGGAAAUUGCUUGGAUGUGAAGUAUUUUGUUUGUGGUGUAUUAUGAGACACUCUCUCUUCCACUUUUUUCUCUCUUUUGUUUGUUUACCUGUUAUUAAUGUGGGUGGUCUUCCAUUUUUCUUACUCAUAUGA
rnacentral:lncRNA from 1 species